rnacentral:lncRNA from 1 species
ACACACAACAUAUACACCUUACACCACACACACCACACAUACACACUCCCCCACACAUCACAUACAUGACACAUAACACUCCCAUACCAUACACACACACCCCACACACCCCAUACCACACACACACCCCAUACCACACACACCCCACACCACAUACACACACACCACACAUGCAUUACACCACACACACACACACAACACCUCACACCACAUACCCCAUACCACACAUAUACACCCCUCACACCACACACACAUACCAC